UCCUGGUUAGCUAUGUUGGUAAAGGGAUCCACUGGAAAUGGGGAGGUUGCUGGAUCGAUACCAGCAGCAGGCG
rnacentral:tRNA from 1 species